CAGUAGCCGCGGUAAAACGUAGGGUGCAAGCGUUAAUCGGAAUUACUGGGCGUAAAGCGUGCGCAGGCGGUUUGUUAAGACAGAUGUGAAAUCCCCGGGCUUAACCUGGGAACUGCAUUUGUGACUGGCAAGCUAGAGUAUGGCAGAGGGGGGUGGAAUUCCGCGUGUAGCAGUGAAAUGCGUAGAUAUGCGGAGGAACACCGAUGGCGAAGGCAGCCCCCUGGGCCAAUACUGACGCUCAUGCACGAAAGCGUGGGGAGCAAACAGGAUUAGAUACCCCUGUAGUCCCUGUCUCUUAUAC
rnacentral:rRNA from 1 species